CCUACGGGAGGCAGCAGUGGGGAAUAUUGCACAAUGGGGGAAACCCUGAUGCAGCGACGCCGCGUGAGUGAAGAAGUACUUCGUUAUGUAAAGCUCUAUCAGCAGGGAAGAAAAUGACGGUACCUGAGUAAGAAGCCCCGGCUAACUACGUGCCAGCAGCCGCGGUCAUACGUAGGGGGCAAGCGUUAUCCGGAUUUACUGGGUGUAAAGGGAGCGUAGACGGCAGUGCAAGUCUGGGGUGAAAGGCGGGGGCUCAACCCCCGGACUGCUCUUGAAACUGUACGGCUGGAGUGCAGGAGAGGUAAGUGGAAUUCCUAGUGUAGCGGUGAAAUGCGUAGAUAUUAGGAGGAACACCAGUGGCGAAGGCGGCUUACUGGACUGUAACUGACGUUGAGGCUCGAAAGCGUGGGGAGCAAACAGGAUUAGAUACCCUAGUAGUC
rnacentral:rRNA from 1 species